rnacentral:tRNA from 1 species
ACUAGGAUCUGCUACACAAGCAGUUGGGCCCAUACCCCAAAAACGAUUACAACACAUCUCCUAGUA